rnacentral:rRNA from 1 species
GACGAACGCUGGCGGCGUGCCUAAUACAUGCAAGUUGAGCGAUGAAGAUUGGUGCUUGCACCAAUUUGAAGAGCAGCGAACGGGUGAGUAACGCGUGGGGAAUCUGCCUUUGAGCGGGGGACAACAUUUGGAAACGAAUGCUAAUACCGCAUAACAACUUUAAACAUAAGUUUUAAGUUUGAAAGAUGCAAUUGCAUCACUCAAAGAUGAUCCCGCGUUGUAUUAGCUAGUUGGUGAGGUAAAGGCUCACCAAGGCGAUGAUACAUAGCCGACCUGAGAGGGUGAUCGGCCACAUUGGGACUGAGACACGGCCCAAACUCCUACGGGAGGCAGCAGUAGGGAAUCUUCGGAAAUGGACGAAAGUCUGACCGGGCAACGCCGCGUGAGUGAAGAAGGUUUUCGGAUCGUAAAACUCUGUUGGUAGAGAAGAACGUUGGUGAGAGUGGAAAGCUCAUCAAGUGACGGUAACUACCCAGAAAGGGACGGCUAACUACGUG